CGGCCCUAUGGGUUGUAAACUGCUUUUAUAAGGGAAUAAAGUGAGUCUCGUGAGACUUUUUGCAUGUACCUUAUGAAUAAGGACCGGCUAAUUCCGUGCCAGCAGCCGCGGUAAUACGGAAGGUCCGGGCGUUAUCCGGAUUUAUUGGGUUUAAAGGGAGCGUAGGCCGGAGAUUAAGCGUGUUGUGAAAUGUAGACGCUCAACGUCUGCACUGCAGCGCGAACUGGUUUCCUUGAGUACGCACAAAGUGGGCGGAAUUCGUGGUGUAGCGGUGAAAUGCUUAGAUAUCACGAAGAACUCCGAUUGCGAAGGCAGCUCACUGGAGCGCAACUGACGCUGAAGCUCGAAAGUGCGGGUAUCGAACAGGAUUAGAUACCCUGGUAGUCCGCACGGUAAACGAUGGAUGCCCGCUGUUGGUCUGAAUAGGUCAGCGGCCAAGCGAAAGCAUUAAGCAUCCCACCUGGGGAGUACGCCGGCAACGGUGAAACUCAAAGGAAUUGACGGGGGCCCGCACAAGCGGAGGAACAUGUGGUUUAAUUCGAUGAUACGCGAGGAACCUUACCCGGGCUUGAAUUGCAGAGGAAGGAUUUGGAGACAAUGACGCCCUUCGGGGCCUCUGUGAAGGUGCUGCAUGGUUGUCGUCAGCUCGUGCCGUGAGGUGUCGGCUUAAGUGCCAUAACGAGCGCAACCCCUCUCCUUAGUUGCCAUCAGGUUAAGCUGGGCACUCUGGGGACACUGCCACCGUAAGGUGUGAGGAAGGUGGGGAUGACGUCAAAUCAGCACGGCCCUUACGUCCGGGGCUACACACGUGUUACAAUGG
rnacentral:rRNA from 1 species